UCCCUGGUGGCUCAGUGGUAAAGAAUCUGCCUGUCAAGUAGGAGACACAGGUUCAAUCCCUGGGUUGGGAA
rnacentral:tRNA from 1 species